UGCCAGCCGCCGCGGUAAUACGGAGGGGGUAAGCGUUAACCGGAAUUAUUGGGCGUAAAGGGCGCGUAGGCGGACUGAAAAGUCCGAUGUGAAAGCCUACUGCUUAACAGUAGAAUAGCAUUUGAAACUCUUAGUCUUGAGGAUAGGCGGCGGAAGUGGAAUUCUGAGUGUAGCGGUGAAAUGCGUAGAUAUUCAGAGGAACACCUGUGGCGAAAGCGACUUCCUGGCCCAAAACUGACGCUGAGGUGCGAAAGCGUGGGUAGCGAACAGGAUUAGAUA
rnacentral:rRNA from 1 species